rnacentral:rRNA from 1 species
UACGUAGGGUGCGAGCGUUAAUCGGAAUUACUGGGCGUAAAGCGUGCGCAGGCGGUUGUGCAAGACAGAUGUGAAAUCCCCGGGCUUAACCUGGGAAUGGCAUUUGUGACUGCACGGCUAGAGUGUGUCAGAGGGAGGUAGAAUUCCGCGUGUAGCAGUGAAAUGCGUAGAGAUGUGGAGGAACACCGAUGGCGAAGGCAGCCCCCUGGGUCAACACUGACGCUCAUGCACGAUAGCGUGGGGAGCAAACAGG